rnacentral:rRNA from 1 species
GAUCAUGGCUCAGGACGAACGCUGGCGGCGUGCCUAAUACAUGCAAGUAGAACGCUGAAGGAGGAGCUUGCUUCUCCGGAUGAGUUGCGAACGGGUGAGUAACGCGUAGGUAACCUGCCUGGUAGCGGGGGAUAACUAGUUGGAAACGAUAGCUAAUACCGCAUAAUAGUAGAUGUUGCAUGACAUUUGCUUAAAAGGUGCAAUUGCAUCACUACCAGAUGGACCUGCGG